rnacentral:tRNA from 1 species
GCCGGGGUGGCGGAAUUGGCAGACGCACAGGACUUAAAAUCCUGCGAUAGGUAACUAUCGUACCGGUUCGACUCCGGUCCUCGGCACCA